GACGAACCGAGCGAACGUUGUUCGGAAUCACUGGGCUUAAAGGGCGCGUAGGCGGGUGCUCAAGUCUGUGGUGAAAUCCUCCGGCUCAACCGGAGAACUGCCAUGGAUACUGGGUGUCUCGAGGGUGGUAGGGGUAUGCGGAACUAUCGGUGGAGCGGUGAAAUGCGUUGAUAUCGAUAGGAACUCCGGUGGCGAAGGCGGCAUACUGGACCACAUCUGACGCUGAGGCGCGAAAGCUAGGGGAGCAAACGGG
rnacentral:rRNA from 1 species